UCUGGCAGCAGGAACACUGUAAAACCAAGAGCGAGCCAAUGACAAUCUAUUUAUAUACAAGAUCAUACAAUAUUUCAAGUUGGAAGGGACCAAGAAGGAUCACCAAGUGUGACUCCCUGCUCCCUGCAGGAUUACUGAACACUAAACCUGCACUGAGCACGGUCCAGGUGCUCCGGGAGCUGAGAUUUGGGGCUGUGCCCAUCCCUGGGAGCCUCUCCCUGUGCCUGACCCCCUCUGGGGGAAGAACCUUCCCCUGGUGCCCAACCUGACUGCUCAUCUUUUAUUCCCUGUGCUGUUUAUUUGACAUUUACACUUCAAAUCAAUUAACACUGUGCCUCUGCAAUGGAUGGAGCACUGCCUCUCCUCGAUGCAAUUACCAUAAAAACACAAACCAGGGCAGCAAUUCUGUGAGCACUGAGUGAAAGAUUACACCAGAACCCCCGAGAGCCAGAGUGAGCUCCAAAGGCAGCUCCACUGAAUUCUGACUGCAAUGAAAAAUCCUGGCAGGUGCUUCCCUGAAAUUCCCAAAAAUUUAUACUGUAUAAAAUUGAAACAGCAUUUAGAGGUUGCUGCUAAUCUGACCCCUGAAAAAACCACUAUUACUGAUGCCAGAUCUGUUUGUUUCAGCCUGAGCAUCCCAGGAAUUCCCAUCCAAUGGAAGCAGGAGGGAUGGGAAUGUGUCCUGCAGGUUCUGUCUCAGGGCAGGAGAGCAGAACAGCUGAGAAACCUUCCCCCAGCCCAGCUACCAGCAUGUAAGGGCCAUGAAAUGAUAAAUGCCUGAACAAAAACCACAACACAAUCUCAAAGUUUUGCCUUCCAUAAAAAUCUUAAAACCUAUCGUUGUGGAAUACCAAGAAAACCUAUCAAGAAAACCCAUCACUGUGGAAUACCAAGAAAACCCAUCACUGUGGAAUACCAAGAAAACCCAUCACUGUGGAAUACCAAGAAAAUUUUACAAAGCACAGUUUGAUUUUAGGCUGUUUGCCUUAACUUGCCUGUGCAGCAAUCGACAAAAGAUUUUGGAGAUCCUUUUUCCAUCUGCAGAAAUGCUGGCUGAUGAUGAAAGACAAGAACAGCAUUUCCUUCCUCCCCACUGCAAUUCUGACCCCUUCAGCAUUUCUGCCCUGUCAUCACGUAUUUCACCUAAAUGCAGGUGUGUUUCCAGUCUGCCCCUGGCCAGGGGUUCCAGUCCUGUCUCUGCCAUUCCCCUCACGUUUACACCAUGCCUUUAAUCCGUGUAAUUUUUUGAUCUGCAUCAGAACAGUUCUGAAUUUGCACACAGCGCUCACAUUAAGUGGGUUGCAGAAUGCACACUGAGCUAAAGGUGAAUGAGUUGUCCUUCAUGCUAACUUUAUACCACUUCUGGGCUCCCCCAAGAUGCCAUUUUACCCAUAAAAUCCAUUUCUUUGCUGUUUUCAACAUAAAACUUAAAAGGUGCUGUGAAAAGUGCUGAAUAUCUUCAGUGGCAAAGGAGGAACCUGGGAUUUGCAGGAAGUAAUUAACUUUCCUUUGCCUUCCAAGCCCUCCCCAUCUCAAUCUUCCCAUUCUGCUUUGUCACUUUGGAAAAGUCUUUGGAGGAGCCAUCCCAGGAUUGAAGAGAGGCUGGAACCUCAGACUGCUGCCAGCUGAUGGCAGAGGACUGGAAAAUGAGCAGAAUACAGGCAUACCCUUUAUGUUUCUAACAGUAAAUUAUAUUUGACAUUUAUGAAUCAAGUUACCCUAAUCUAGAGCUCUACCACAACAACACUGAGAAAGCAAUGAAUCUUUCCAGAGGAAAACCCCAUUUUUAAAAAAAUUCAAGAUAAUUUUAGUCAUGAGUAAUUGAAAAUGUAAUUUAGAAUUCAUUCCUUUGCAUGGUUAAUUACAGCAGAAGAGUUUCCAAAGAUGAUGAUGAUCUAAUGAAAUAAUAUUCUUUUCUGAAACAUGAUAUCAGAGUAAAUAAAAUACUAAAAUGCAAAUUAAUAUGGCUAUUUGGAUUGUGUUGAGAACAUUAAACGCAUAUCAAAGUCUAAACCAGUCCUGAGGCUCAGGUAUUGCACCUGCAAUCAUCUCUUGGAAUUUAAAGGAUUGAACAACGUAGACAAGCCUCCAAAACUUCUGACAGCAGCUCUAUAUCCUUAGUUCACCACAAGGACAAAAUGGUUUUAUUCAUGAGUGUGCCAUCAGUCCCCAGCUCUCCUGAAGCCCAGAAUGGAUUUCCCAGCCUCAGCACACAGCAAAGCCAAGGCUUUAUCUCCAUUCCCCAUGAAUUCUGCACUCCUCUUCCAGAGGAAAACAGAGGCCAUGUGUUUAACCAAAACACCUCAUUCAGAAAGAGAAUAAAGCCCUUUUGCAGCGACUGUCUGCAAUCCACCUGCAGCUACGGAGCAGCAGCACAAUCUGUGACCUUAUUCCUUUUUCAUAAAGGGCACUUGAGCUAAAUGAACUCCUUGCCCACGUUCCCGGAAAACAAAAGUCUUGAUUUGACCUCAGAGUUUCUGCAGCAGUCCCCAAAGCCGCUCUCUUUUCCCUGUGCAGCUCCAGCAGAUUGGAAGGUCAGCACUGGGUACACGGAUGAUGCAAUUACAGCUUUCUGAACAUUUUUGUCUGGAGAUCUUUAGAAUAAUUUAAGUGCUCUGAGUAUAACCGAGUGAAAAAGGAGCUGUCACGCAUGAACCACAUCAGAAAUUUCCCAUGCUGAGGCAAAUGGCUGAUUUCAAAUUGCUACCAUUGCACCUGGAGUUAAAUUGUCCAUUUUGCUAAUGUGGGAUGUCUUAUUCUGGACUAAAAUAUGGAUUUUCCUAAUAAUUUUAAUUCUCGAAGUUACAGAUAAUUUCAAACUCCCAGUAUCACACUCCCAAAGCUGUCUGUCCCUGUGGGAAGAGUGAGGGGUGUGUGCGUAUCCAAAGAGCUGUUCCCUGAUAGAUUCUCCCUGACAGUGCUCAGUGAGAACAUCACACACCCCAAAUAUUGGCCAAACACACAAAUCCCAACUUGGUCAAACACACAAACCCCAAAUAUUGGCCAAACACACAAACCCCAAAUAUUGGCCAAACACACAAACCCCAAAUAUUGACCAAACAAACCCCAAAUAUUGGCCAAUAGGGUCUAGAGCAAAGGCUGCAAAUGCCAGGAUACUCCCAGAGGUAUCCCAAGACCAAAGUAAGGAUCAGAAACACGUGCUGCCACCACAGCAGCACCAGCAGAGCUCUCAGGAGGAGUUUAUUAGGAUGCCUUUAAGUGCUCAGCUUCAUAAAACAUAAAUACCACGGCCCUGUCUCUUUGUAUUUGUGCAUAAUCCAGCGAGGAGAUGGCAAAGUCAGGCUGCCCCUGGGUUUUCUCUCUGAGUCACCUUGACUAGAGCAGCACAUUUCUGCUGGCAGCAGAGCAGCAGAACAUGGAACAGCCCCACCAGUGCCUCUCAGCACAGCCAAACUGCUCCUCUCCACCCCUCUCCAUCCCCCAAGAGCCUCAAACCCUUUAUUGCAGAAUUGCCAUUUUCAGUUCCUUGUGGUCAUGAUCAUACCUUCCUUUAAAACAGCUCUGUCAAGAAGCAGACUAUAUGUGAAGCUGCAUGAAAAAAAAAAAAAAGAAAAAA
ensembl:lncRNA